UUUUUUUUUUCAUGAUAAAAUAGCUAGUGAUUUCCAUCAAUCAGAUUUGGGGUGAAGAAUCCAAGGUAUUCUUUACUGGGUCUGAUGGGAUGCUGGAAAUCGAGGCAGAGCUGUCCGAAGGUGGGGAGGCUGGCGGUCACUCUUCCACAUACAGAAGCCUUGAUGCUUCAUUUCACUGCUGGUUCACUGCAGGCAGUGUCACUCUCUUACAAGGACAGACUCUAGGGACAAGGAGGAUGGAUUCUCAUUCCUGACAGUGCAUUUGCCUGAUACAAGGGACUAACUCCCUCAUGUAUGCUUUUCUUUGAAAAAAAAAAAAAAAAAAAGUAACAAAUUGUCUUUACAUCUUGGCACCUUUGUAAAGUUUUCUUUUUUUUUUUUUUAUACAAAAAGUUCAAUAGCUUUGACAACUCCCCAUUAUUAAUCACUACUUCACUGAUAAACUUUGAAAGUGUGACCCUGGCAUUUCAUCAUGCAAAAUAUUUACUGCAGCAGGAGAAAACAUUUUUUAAAACAGCAUUUUUUUUUCUCUUUUCAAAUGUAUGAACUGGUUUAAGAUAGCCAGGAAGGCAGUGGUAGGAUAAACACAAGGGAUAGGAAUGUAUCAAAAAACAGAUUAACACACAUACCCGCGCACACACAUACACACACACACACAAAUCUGUACAAAAUGCUCUGAUCAAUGAGAACAGAAAAAAAAAAAUCUGUCAACUAUGUUACAAUUUAAAAGCCAAAAAAAAAAAAAAAAAAAGGUUAGGGAACUUCUCCCUCCCACAUGUCAGGAAAUGUCAUCCAAUAUUCUUAAAGCAAGGAUAACUAAAUAAAAUACAUGUGCAGCAUAUUCUGCAAUCCCAUUACAUACAGUAGUUUUUUUCCAAAGCUAUUUUUUUUUUUUUAGUAUCGUUAAUAUAAAGCAGUUGCACAAAAAGCAAAGGUGUUUUGACAAACAGGUGUAUGCAUUUAUUCCUUUUUAGGAACAAUAUCUAAAAAAAGAACCGCCCUCCGCCCUCCCCCAAAAAAGACAAAGAUUCACACAGACACAUUGGAAUAUAUGUACAACAUAAUAAACCCCAUCCUAAAGAAGCGACUGGAACACCCCCCCAGGGAUACAGAAUCAGAAUUGUAAAAAUCAUAGUGAAGUUUGCUUGCUGUAAAGCCUGAGAAUUUUUUUUUUCAGUUGGUUCUUCUGCAGGGCUGUGAU
rnacentral:lncRNA from 1 species